rnacentral:rRNA from 1 species
CCUACGGGAGGCAGCAGUGAGGAAUAUUGGUCAAUGGCCGGAAGGCUGAACCAGCAAUGCCGCGUGAAGGUCAGUGCCCUUUGGGCGGUAAACCUCUUUUGUGCGGGAGCAAUAAUGGUCACGUGUGGCCAGACGAGCGUACCGGACGACUAAGCAUCGGCAAACUCCGUGCUAGCAGCCGCGGUAAUACGGGGGAUGCGAGCGUUAUCCGGAUUUAUUGGGUUUAAGGGGUGCGCAGGCGGAGGUGCAAGUCAGCGGUCAAAUUGCGGGGCUCAACCCCGUACUGCCGUUGAAACUGCAUCACUUGAGUGCGCGAGAGGUAAGCGGAAUGCGUGGUGUAGCGGUGAAAUGCGUAGAUAUCACGAAGAACACCGGUGGCGAAGGCAGCAUACCGGCGCGCAACUGACGCUGAGGCACGAAAGCGUGGGUAGCGAACAGGAUUAGAUACCCGAGUAGUC